ACGGAAGGCAGCAGUGGGGAAUCUUGCGCAAUGGCCGCAAGGCUGACGCAGCGACGCCGCGUGGGGGAGGAAGGGCUUCGGCUCGUAAACCCCUGUUGCCCGGGGCGAACAUCGUCUUUCGAGACGACUGACGGUACCGGGUGAGGAAGCACCGGCUAACUCCGUGCCAGCAGCCGCGGUAAUACGGAGGGUGCGAGCGUUGUCCGGAAUCACUGGGCGUAAAGGGCGCGUAGGCGGCCCCGCAAGCGUGUGGUGAAAGCCCGGGGCUCAACCCCGGGUCGGCCGUGCGGACUGCGGGGCUCGAGCACUGUAGGGGCGGGUGGAAUUCCGGGUGUAGCGGUGGAAUGCGUAGAGAUCCGGAAGAACACCGGUGGCGAAGGCGGCCCGCUGGGCAGGAAGACCCCUCACGGGGUCGGCUGACGCUGAGGCGCGACAGCGUGGGGAGCAAACAGGAUUAGAUACCCUGGUA
rnacentral:rRNA from 1 species